GGAUUUUCUUAGUAGCGGCGAGCGAAAAGAAAAUAGUUCAGCACUAAGUCACUUUGUCUUUAUGGCAAAUGUGAGAUGCAGUGUAUGGAAUGUCAAAUUUCUAGUAUGAGAAAUUAACGAUUUAAGUCCUUCUUAAAUGAGGCCAUUUACCCAAAGAGGGUGCCAGGCCCGUAUAACGUUAAUGAUUACUAGAUGGCAUUUCCAAAGAGUCGUGUUGCUUGAUAGUGCAGCACUAAGUGGGUGGUAAACUCCAUCUAAAACUAAAUAUAACCAUGAGACCGAUAGUAAACAAGUACCGUGAGGGAAAGUUGAAAAGAACUCUGAAUAGAGAGUUAAAUAGUACGUGAAACUGCUUAGAGGUUAAGCCCGAUGAACCUGAAUAUCCGUUAUGGAAAAUUCAUCAUUAUGAUUUUAAUAUUUAUAAUAUUAUAAUAAUGGUGUGCAUUUUUUCUAUAAAGGACAUUGUAAUCUAUUAACAUAAAUUAAUUUAUCAUAAGAUCAUUUGCGUAAGUUUAUUCAAAUUAUUUUGCUUGCAUUUUAAUAUCGAAUAAAUGCUUUUGAUUUGAUAAAGUGUUGAUAGAUUUAUUAUAUACAGUGCUUAAAUAUUUAUAUUUUAUAAUAGCAUAUUAAUCAAUGAUUUUUAUGUUCAUUAUAUGCACUUGUAUGAUUAACAAUGCGAAAGAUUCAGGAUACCUUCGGGACCCGUCUUGAAA
rnacentral:rRNA from 3 species